CUGGAUUGCAUGAAAUUGGAAGC
rnacentral:siRNA from 1 species